rnacentral:rRNA from 1 species
UACGUAGGGGGCUAGCGUUGUCCGGAUUUAUUGGGCGUAAAGAGCGUGUAGGCGGCCAGGUAGGUCUGCUGUGAAAACUCGAGGCUUAACCUCGAGAUGUCGGCGGAAACCAUCUGGCUAGAGUCCGGAAGAGGAGAGCGGAAUUCCUGGUGUAGCGGUGAAAUGCGCAGAUAUCAGGAAGAACACCCGUGGCGAAGGCGGCUCUCUGGGACGGUACUGACGCUGAGGAGCGAAAGCGUGGGGAGCGAACAGG